rnacentral:RNase_P_RNA from 1 species
GGAGUGGGCUAAGCGAUCGCUGCGAGACGACAGUCUCGGAGAGGAAAGUCCGGGCUUCAUAGGGUACAGCGGUGGGUAACGCCCACCGUCCGCGAGGAUCGGGAAAGUGCAACAGAAAGAAUACCGCCCGCAAGGGUAAGGGUGAAAUGGUGGGGUAAGAGCCCACCGCGAGGCGGGUGACCGUCUCGGCAUGGCAAACCCCGCUGGAAGCAAGACCAAGCAGAAAGCAGUUCCGGGAAGUCCGCUUCCCGGGCGCGAGUCGUCCCGGCUCGUUACGACUUUCGGGUAGGUUGCUAGAGGCGGCGAGCAAUCGUCGUCGUAGAGAAAUGAUCGCUCACGACACAACCCGGCUUACAGGCCCACUCCGGUU